GGAGCGCUCGGGGAGCCGGGGCAGCGGGAGGAAGCGGCGGCGGCGGCGCGCCCCGAGCCGUGCGCGCCAUGGCGGGAGGGCCCCCCAAGGCCUUGCCGUCCACGGGGCCCCAGUCCCUGCGUGACAUGCCGCACCCGCUGGCCGGCUCCAGCAGCGAGGAGGCCGUGGGCGGCGAUAGCACGCCCAGCCCGGACCUGCUGAUGGUCCGCAGCUUCGGUGACAAGGAUCUCAUUUUGCCCAACGGUGGCACUCCAGCAGGCACUUCAAGUCCAGCUUCUUCGUCCUCCCUUCUGAACAGACUGCAACUAGAUGAUGACAUCGAUGGUGAGACCAGAGAUCUCUUCGUCACCGUUGAUGAUCCCAAGAAGCAUGUCUGUACAAUGGAGACCUACAUCACCUACAGGAUCACCACCAAAAGUACUCGGGUGGAGUUUGACUUGCCAGAAUAUUCUGUCCGUCGAAGAUACCAGGAUUUUGACUGGCUGAGGAGCAAGCUGGAGGAGUCACAGCCUACUCAUCUCAUUCCCCCGCUUCCUGAGAAGUUUGUGGUGAAAGGGGUUGUGGAUCGUUUUUCAGAAGAGUUUGUGGAGACCAGAAGAAAAGCUCUGGAUAAAUUUCUAAAAAGAAUUACUGAUCACCCUGUGCUCUCUUUCAAUGAACACUUCAAUGUUUUCCUUACUGCUAAGGACCUCAACGCCUACAAGAAGCAGGGGAUGGCAUUGCUGACCAGAGUGGGAGAGUCAGUCAAGCAUGUCACAGGAGGCUACAAGCUGAGGAGUCGGCCUCUUGAGUUUGCAGUCAUUGGUGAAUACUUAGACACCUUUGCACUCAAACUGGGAACCAUCGAUCGAAUAGCCCAAAGGAUCAUCAAAGAAGAAAUAGAGUACCUCGUAGAGCUGAGAGAAUACGGGCCUGUGUACUCCACAUGGAGUGCCUUAGAAGGUGAGCUGGCUGAGCCCCUGGAAGGUGUGUCAGCUUGCAUCGGGAACUGCUCCACAGCCUUGGAAGAGCUGACAGAUGAUAUGACAGAAGACUUUCUACCCGUGCUCAGGGAAUAUAUUUUAUACUCCGACUCCAUGAAAAGCGUAUUGAAGAAGAGGGACCAAGUUCAAGCAGAGUAUGAAGCCAAACUGGAAGCUGUGGCUCUAAGAAAAGAAGACCGCCCCAAGGUGCCCACAGACGUGGAGAAAUGUCAGGAUCGGAUGGAGUGCUUCAAUGCUGAUCUGAAGGCCGACAUGGAGCGGUGGCAGAACAACAAGCGGCAGGACUUCCGGCAGCUGCUCAUGGGCUUGGCCGACAAGAACAUCCAGUAUUAUGAGAAGUGCCUCAUGGCGUGGGAGUCGAUUAUUCCACUGCUGCAGGAGAAACAAGAGGCCAAGUAGGCUCUUCUUGGGACAGACAGAGACUCUUCUACCUACACAGGGCAUGGCCCUGUACCAGAAUGUCCCUGCAGUGCCAGAGAGGUGGCCUUGGGAAAAUGACACAGAAGCACCUUUCAUGUGUAUUUUUCUCCUUCCCAUUUCACCCCACAGUUGUUUUCAAUUAAUAUUUAUUCUUUGGUGGAGCCUGUGAGGCUAGAACCAUCUCUCAGCAGAAGCAUACCUCCGCAUUAUGAAGGAACCUCCUAAAUGGAACACUAUGAAGACUUGAAACAGGGACAUGACAGCCCACAGCUGACGUCGUAACAGCUCAUGAGUUUCUUCUUUGGAGACAGCUGAAUUGCCUGUUAUGGGGGAGAAACCAGGUCCUGCUUUCCAAGGACAUGAGGAGGCAUGAAGAGAAGGGAACUGUGGCUUGCUGUUGGAGACCCAGCGGCUCUGCCCUUGACCCCUGUGGGCACUGACUUGUCUCAGCCUAGAUGGAGGUGUGAGUGCCUCCAUAGAGAGUCCUUAAUUUACAGUGGCCUGUAACUAUGAGUGUGGCCUGCUGCCUGCUUGUGACGAGUGACAUGUGAUUUCUUAUUUCUGGCUCACGUGGGGCCAUUUAAAUCAGUGUCCAUAUACAUCCAUACUUGAGUGAGCAAGCCAUGUCCUGUCCUUAUGCGAUGUCUGGGAAGCUGAUCAGAGUGCAAUGCAUUAGAAACUUUCUGUGUGAAAUGAAGAAGAUGGAACAGUUAAAACACUGCUUCAUAUGCAAAUUAACCUCCAAAUACCAGUCAGCACGUGUGUUCCACUCUAAGUGCAGAGUUGACCUGUGUCAGCCGCAGCUAGGAUACUCAGGACAACAGUUGGAGAGCAUGGAACAGUUUGGUUCUUUUUCCUCAUGUUUGACAAAGUCACAGUUGAAAUGAUAAUUUUUUACAUAAAUCGGUACUUGCCUGUACUGCUAAACCCCAUCUGUGCCAUUCUAAAAUCCUUUGAUGUGAAUUUUCAGUUUGGUACAAAUAGAAUUGAUUCACCAAAGCAGAGGGGUAAGAACAAUCCAGUGCCCCCAGCCCAAGUGAUUCAGCAUUUCAUUCUACCUCUCAGCCAUCGUGUUGGUGUGGGUGUGGAUGUGCCAGUCCAACCUGAACGUGCUGCUAGAAUCGGGAUGUGUAGCUAGUCGUGACAGCCCUUUCAAUACAUGUAGAAGAAACCAGACUGGCCCAGCAGCAAAUGUUCAUCUUUGCAAUGUGAAGCUUUGCCUUGUGGAAUGUGGGCUUGAAACACGUCAUCCAGCACAAUCAUGCUUGGAAAGAAAGGUGGAAAGUGACAAGGAAGCUAGAAUCUGAUAACCUGCUGGUAGCUGAUGCCCAGGGUUACCCUGUGUACUGGUUACUGGGAAAAGAUGGCAGCCCUUCAAAAACAGCAGCUGGCUUGUAGCCAGGAGGGAUGGGAAGGGGAACAGGAUCCAUAGUCACUUCUCAUCGUGGAAGGCAGAGUACUGGCUCUGAAGGCACCUUGAGGUUUUCUCUGGCUCUGUUUGUUUGGUCCCUGUGUGAUGUUCCUAUGCCUUGAAACACCAGAAAGAGCUGAAACAAUGUAAACUUCUAUUCCAGCAGAGCCAGGAGAACUGUGUACGUAACAGACUUACAUGGAGAAAUGGUUCUUCCGCAGAAGAGACUCUUGUCUCUAUCUUCAUGCUGCCAUCUGAUGGGAUGAGGAGGCUGGCCCAGAAGGAAGGGGACAAAAGGCAGUGAAGGGGACUCUCCUGCCCAUCCCACUCUGUGGCUCUCUCACGCCCCUCAGGCUCAGCAGUCCCAAGUCUUUCUCUGUUCAUCUUGGUCAAGCACAGAGAUUCCUCAUGAGAUGUGUAACUCAGGAUGAGUUUGGGGAGGCUUCAUCACCCCUCCUUCUGGAGCCCACAGUCUCCAAUCCCCCCAUAUUUAUUUUCCAUGAGAUUUUGGCUUGAGGUCACACUUUACCUCAGGCAGAGGGACAGAGAUAGAUUUUGAGACUUGAGGAUGAUGACAGUAGAAGUCAUCCCUAGCAACUGCCCAGGUCCUGAGAUGUGAACAGUUUCCUGCCAAGAAUGAGAGAAUUCCUAGAAAGUGAGAUUUGAGAGAUGCAAAUAAUGUAAAAGCGAGAACUGUGAUUUGGAGCAGGUGUGGACCCAGUGCUUCCUUCUGUGGGGGACUGUGCUCUGCUCAAGGCAAGGAGUGGCUGCUGUGAAUGAGGAGGGAACUCACUGCUCAGACUGUCCUAGGAUUGGGUCUUAUCCCUUGAUAAUGUGUGAUAAUGAUUGCCAGUGAGCUGAAAGUGUGAUGGGGGUGAUGGGCUUCACCAGGCUGCUCUUGAUGCCUUUGUGUGGCUAAAAUGACUCUAGGGAUGGUAGCAAAUGUAUUUUCUUGCCAGAUUCCAGCCCCACAAGUGUACUCUAGAUGUUGCGUGUUCUAGAUGUUCUUGCCACUCUAUGUGAGGGAACUGCUCGUGCAGCUGUCUUGGCUGAGGGCCUGACGAGAAGUCCUGCUUUAGAGGUGGGCCUGAUGACAUUGUGGCGGUGCAAAUGAGGUUUCUCUUAGGAUAGUAGAGUUUGUGUCACUUGAUCCUGCCCAGUAUCAUUGAAAGUGCAGGGAGCUGGCUCUGUUUUGAUAAUGUCAUUGAUUGUGGACUGGUGAUUCCCUGUACUCCAUCCUGAGCUAGUGACAUAGGACAAAGAACAAUGUCAAAAAGGUCCAAGACUGUGUUGGCCUCAUCUCUUUGGGCCUUGAAGUGGGUUGGAACUGGGUUCUACUCUGGCUAGAUGGGGCUCCUGGUCACCCUAAAGGGUGAUUCCUCCUAGAAGAUCAACUGCCUGUGGUCAGAGCAGGGAACACCCUUGAGGACCCCACCUUCCCAGUCGCCUAUUACAAGAGCCUGUAGGAACUGAGUGAGCUAGUUACAUAGCUGGAUAACACUGCCUUGACCACCCUCAUUUGCAAAAGUAUGUUGGGAGUUUGGGUUUGCCUUCUCACUUUCAAAAGCCCUUAAGAUGGCAACAGAUUGGACGUGCCCUCUCGUUGGUUAUGUUUUUCUACUCAUAUGACAGGUGACACUUAUUGGUACAUUUGAAGACAAUGUCCUCUCCUAGGCCAGACUUACCAAUGGAGCAGGUGGUGUUAGAGCUGUUCUCCUCAUCUUUGCUUUUAACUCAAUGAACAAUCCAGGAAUUCAGUUUUUCACCAAUUCACUCUGUAGGUUGUCAUCUUUUUGUCUUAAAAAUGUCUGGUCUUCCCACAGCUACACAUAUCAGUGGUGUGCAGAGGCUGUCUGCAUCCAGAAAGGUUAAGGUGAGGACUGUGUUACAGGGAAUGAACUGCUCUCUUAAUCAUAUGUGUUUGAAAUGUGUCCUGGGUAUGACUGUCUGUGUGGCAGAAAAACAUGUCAUCCAGCUAGUUUUUACUACUCUAGAUAAUCUGUAUAUAAGUGCUAUGAAAACAAUAACUUUUAGCAAACCAAUAAGAUACUUGUCUCAUAUAAGCAUUCUAUGCAUUUAGCACUUGAAAAUCAACAAAUCCAGAAUUUUAAAGAAUUGUCCCAGACUGUUAAUAGCCUAACUCUGCUCUUUGAGAAUUUGUCAGUACCUACUAAUAUGCCUUAUUCUUCAACUAGUGUUUUAAAAUUUCUGGGUAGAAAGCAUUUUAGGAAGUGUUAAGCAGUCUUCAGCUUACAUGCUAGCAGUCUAACAUAGUCUUCAGUCUUUAAGAAACAAGUCAGAAAGGGAGGGUUCAAAUUAGGAUGGCCUUUUGGGAGGAGAGAACUAAAUACUGAUAUUGCCAAAUGAUAUUUUUAAUAUUAAGGAAACACAGGGACCACAACACGUUUUGUUGUUUUAAAGUGUGAAAGAUUCAUUUAGUGCCUUUUGGCAUCCUUUUGAUUGUAGAGGAUAUGGUGUCAGCAUUGACAAAUCAUAUGGAUACAAAGAACUCUAUACAUUAUGACAAUAUUAAAGGUUUACCCUGAUUCUGAGGUCAGCUUUGUAAGGUACUAUGGGGGCCUCAUAGGAGCAUGUUUUGGAUGGAAUUUUCCACAGGUUGAAAUGCCAAAAACAUCAAACCUAUUAUGUUGACUCGCAUAAUUGAAUCCGUUUUUGCAGAGCCAUCUGUCACAGCUAGUGAUGGAGUGUUGCCUAUGUACCUCUCCCAAAACCCCCGCCCUGGCAUCAAGUGACUCUGGGCUCUCUGUAGACCGGGUCAGAGCAGCUAACACCUGUCCACACUCCUGUUGGACAGGCUCGUUCAGUCUUAGGCCAACAUUCUGUCAGGAAUGAUACUGGAAAGGGGAAGGGGAAGUCAAUUUUUCCUAGUGUGGCAGUGGGGAGAGGGGAAAGUAGAUUGUAAACCAAAAUGUGAGUUGCCAUUAAUAAAGAACGGCUGUGUCAGUGGGGCCUUCAACGGAUAACAACCAGCAUCUCCUAACAGCACUGUUCACUGGGAUGCACGCCCCGAGGCUUCGGGCCAGUCCCAUAGACUUCCUUGUUCAUCGUGUUUCUGUGCCUGCGCCCUUCAUCCCUGUGCGUCAGGAACGCAUGGAGAGACGACCUAUGUCUGAUGUACUCCCACGAAACAAACUGCCAGCAAACUUUCUAACUUGUAUUUUAACUGUUCAAGAAGAGAUUAAAAUGCGUGCUUAGGGCAUGUCCAAAUUAUGGACUGUGUUUCUUAUUUUUAGAAAUCAUUCUUUACAUUUAAAAAUUUAAAAGAGAAAUUAAAAAAAAAAAAAGCCUUCUGAGGUAUUGAUCAAGUCCUGGUGUAAAUGUGUUCUCUCUCUAUGCUGCCAUUAAGCCAAAACAAAAGCUGUGAAAAUAAAGUGCUUGAGAGAAUGUGUGACGAUAAGAACGUGAUUUAUUUAGAGUGAAGUCUUUGUCUCAUGAAGCUACCAAAUGUUAAAAAGAAUGUCACCUUUUUUUCUUUGUUACUGAACCCAGAGAUUAUAAAAUGAAAAAAAAAGUUUUUUGUUGAAUUUUUGAUGCUGGCACAGGGUUUUUGUCCACUUUUGUUUUUCAUGUAUCUGUGUAUAAAAAAAUCUGUUCAUUGUUUAC